ACGGGAGGCAGCAGUGGGGAAUAUUGCACAAUGGGGGAAACCCUGAUGCAGCGACGCCGCGUGGGUGAUGAAGUAUUUCGGUACGUAAAGCCCUAUCAGCAGGGAAGAUAAUGACGGUACCUGACUAAGAAGCUCCGGCUAAAUACGUGCCAGCAGCCGCGGUAAUACGUAUGGUGCAAGCGUUAUCCGGAUUUACUGGGUGUAAAGGGAGCGCAGGCGGUACGGCAAGUCUGAUGUGAAAGCCCGGGGCUCAACCCCGGUACUGCAUUGGAAACUGUCGAACUAGAGUGUCGGAGGGGUAAGCGGAAUUCCUAGUGUAGCGGUGAAAUGCGUAGAUAUUAGGAGGAACACCAGUGGCGAAGGCGGCUUACUGGACGAUAACUGACGCUGAGGCUCGAAAGCGUGGGGAGCAAACAGGAUUAGAUACCCUGGUA
rnacentral:rRNA from 1 species